AUGGCAGCACGGAGAAGCUUGUCUGCCCUGACCUUGGGAAGAAAUGCCACUUGGUGAACGCCCUAAGGAGCGGAGCCUGCUGGAAUCUUCCUGACACCUGAGCAGCACGAGAUCAUCCCAUACAAGGAUGAUAAUAAAGCACUAAGAGUGUUGCUGAUGUGGCGAUAUGUGAUAGGUUACAUAGUGAAAAAAACUUACAAGGAAAUAGUGGGUCUUGAAGAAGGGUAUAAAACAGCUCCUAUCUCUGAUAAAUAUCUCAGUAUCUCUGCAGGUCUGAGUCCAUGCCUCCUUUGUUUACACAUGGUGGAGCCAUGGGCUGGGCAGGAGCCUGGGUGGGGACUGAGGGGUCUCUGCUUUUAAGGCAUGGCCAGGGUCUCCUGGAUGGGACAGGGGUGGUUGGUGUGCUGGUGCAAGGUGGCAAAGCCCCGCUGACCCCACCAGCCGCCCAUGGAAAACAUCUCAUUCUUUCCUCCCAAGGCACCGGGGUUAGAGCAGACUCAUCGCAGCUCUCGCUCCAACCAUCAUGGACUUCCAGCUACUCGUGAUUGCAUUCCUUCUGGGAUUCAUCAUGGGACUUCUACUUCUAACACUAUGCAAAGAGAGGAUAGCCAUGAAAAUAAGCAAGGGAUCUUUUUCCUUCUCUUUUGAAGUUGGGGGGAAACAAAGGGUCAGCCCCACAGGCUGCAGCCAAUGCCAUGGUGACCACAAGAAGAAAGCCUGAUUACCAUGGCCAGUGAACAGAAGGUGAUUUCCUUCCUUCCAAGCAGCCUGCUUCAUUUCUUCCCACAGCAUGGACUAGAAUGCUCCCACUGACCAGCAGCUGCCCCUUUAACAUAUUUGGAUGGCUUUGAUCAAUCAAUGCCUUUAAAGCUUUAAUAAAAGUGCGUUGCUGGUGUGGGUGUGUGUGGUGGUGAUUGUUGUGCAUCGUGGCUCAGGUUCCUGCCCCACAGCUGGGCAUUUGCCGUGCUCCAGGAAGGGAUUGCCCAGGCAGAGUUUCCAGCCUUGCUCCCUGUGCCCCUGCCCAGCCAGGGGCUGGCUCCCACUGCAGCCUGACAGUGCUGGCAGUCCCUGGGAGCCCAGCACUGCUGCAGCAAAUGCCCAGGGCAGCAUGGCACUGCCCUGCAGGGCCGGCAGAGCCCCAGGGGUGCAGUGGGUGCAUCUCUGCAGCCUGGGGCUCAGGACAGCCACUCUCUCUGAUUUGGGCUGGGACAGGGGAGCUGCUCCUGCCAGACACGCUGUGCCCCACUGCUCCUGCUGGGCUGGGACCUUGUCUUGGCUCCUGGGAGCCGUGUCUGGGAUCCUCAGGGCGGGAUCCCUGGGCACCAGCCAUGGGGGAGCUGCUGGGGUGCUGCCAGAGCAUCCUGGGGGGGCAUGGCUUGCACCACAAGCUCUGGUGGCUUUGGAGACCUGC